rnacentral:lncRNA from 1 species
GAAUGCUGGGGACAUGUGUCAGAAUCAGGAAAAUAGAGUUGCUUUCUUUCCAUAGUGCAGGCUCCACAAUGAUCUAUUUAAAGUUUCAUUAUUUCCCAAUUCUCCAAGGUAAAGACUGUCUGACUUGUUUUUUCCUCACCUGAGUGCGAUAGGAAGGGCCUUGUUAUUAGGACCAGACAAAAACAGGGCAGAAUCUCAUUUUCCAAGACCUAUUCACAUCCGGGGUUUUGUAGGAUUUAGAAGUGGACAAUAGCCACGUUGUCUGGAAUCCACACAGGCGUCAGGAAGCUGAAUUGUGAAGGACUCAGGAGGCCUUGUCCUGGCAGCAGCAUCCUUCUGGGUCCCUGGAUUUUCAGGAAAAGCUGUUUGCUAUAGCCUAAGCAUAGGGAUUCCAGGAAGAUUCUUUAUUAUAACAGUACUUGCAGGGACUAUGGUUCCACAUUCCUAAGGGGAAAUUCAGCAUGAAUGUAUAUUUCCUUAGAAAUCCCAGGGGUUAAAGCAAUUAUAACCAUAGGUAGGGCUGUGAGGCUAUUUCCACAGGAAGGCUGUCAGUUCCUACUGCAAGACGGGAGAUGGAAUGGAAUGGAUACACAAAUGGAAUGAUGGAUAGAAGUGGAUGCAGUUGACCUGAGCUGCUGCUGUAGUUGCAGGUAUACGGUGGCUGAUUCUGUUGGCUUGGUCAAUGCCCAGUACGAGCACCUAGGCUCUGGUGUUGACUUAACUGAUGGACCUGGCCCUCAGAGAGGAUGCACAGCCGAUGCCAGAGAGGAGAACAUUGUGGAUAGAGAUGAAAUCCUUGGCAGAGACCUGGGUGUCCAAAGCUAAUUAGUGCUCUGCUGCUUGCUCUAAGCAAAACAUCUUUAGGGAGAAAGGAUCUGUUUGAACUCACAGCCUCUGGGGGUUUCAUUCCAUCAUGACAGGGAAGGCAUGGGGAAGCAGCUCACAUCUGGAAGGCAGAAGCAAGUGGGAGAGGGUAGUCGUAUCAAAGUGAACCAGGAAGCAGAGAGGGUAGCCAGAAUGUACCAUUGGUUAUAAUGUUCACAGCUCCACUCCUAUGGAAAAACUAUUUCCUCCAACUAAGCCCCACCUCCUAAUGGUUCUUCAGCCUAAUGGGUCUCAGACAUUGCCACCAGGUUGGGGAGAAGCAUGAAUCUGAAGAGGACAUGGUAGGCUCAAACUAUAUGUCACAACCUUUAGAUAAAUAGAAUAUCCCAAAGAAGAUAGAACUUAGACCUUUUAUGAAGAACAAAUGAUGUGAGAAAAUAGUGUUAAUUUGAUGUUUCCCCAAUCAUUAGUCAUGGCUGAACAAGUGAAUGAAGAAGCAGAUUUUGUUCAAUCAUUAAUUAGAACAUGGACCCACAUUGUUUUAGUGGUGAAUCUACCUCUGUCAUCUACCUACUGUUCUGGCCAAGUCUUUUUGGUAAGGAAACUUCCUUCAAGUAUAAUGGUAAAUUGAGAGACAUCUUUUAGACUUGUCCAUAAGGAAAGAGUAGCAGAAUCUAUUUGUCCUAAAAUAAAAAUUUUGACAUCUAUUUUGUAAGUCCCAGAAUUUUAUCUAAAGACAGAAACAAACUAACAAAGCAGCUGCCAUUUUCUAGUGUUGACCUUUCAGCGGAGAUUGCUCACUGAGGCUGAGAGGAUCCCACUCUUUUGCCUUACCUUGCCUUCUCCCUGCUAGAAAGAAUAAUUUUCACAUCCUUCUCCUUUGAGUCACCUUAGAAACCAGUGCUCUGUGAAUCUGGGCACUGUGAAGACUCCCAGGAAUACAGCUACACGUGCACAGAGUGCCCCCUUCUUGUCCUUUCUGCUCAGGCUUCCUGGAUCUCUCAACUCUCAUUUCUUGUGGGUCUUGCCAGAAGCUCAUCUGGUCCUGGGAAGAUGCAGCCUUUUCUAGUAUUUUACUAAUGGUAAGGGCUCUGUUAAACUGAUUUUAUUUUGGUGGACAAACCAGAAAUAAUCUGUUUCCAGCAUGCAUUGUGAAAUCCACUUCCCACAGCUCCAUGAAAAUUGUGCCCAAUUAUACCUCUUCAGACAUCAGACUUGAAAUGGUUCAUUGGUUCCUUAUUACUUCCUGGCUUUGGUUUCUAACUGACCUUGAGGGAUUGCUGUGGGAAUAGGAAAGGCCUAUGUGAGCAGCAGAAGCCAUGUUCUCUCACUGAUUUGAUUUCCCUCUAAUGUAUUCUGCCCACAGUAGUUGAUACCAUAACUUUAAGUCUUUGAUAUUCCCUUCACUUGACCUAAUGAGAUUCUUGACACUUUUCUGGAGCAAGGACUUGGGAGGAGGUGUAGCACUCUCUAGCAGGGAAAUGAAGUUACCCAUGACUUCUCUUGAGGCACAUAAAAUCUAACUUUCCGUUUGUUACAAAAUUAACUCACACACUUCACCAGCACUGUAUCUCAUUCCUCUAUGUUACAGCAUCCCCUACCCACGUAGACGAAGAAGCUUUCCAACUAGAUUGUACCUUGUUUUGUUUAUUGAGGGAUUCCUUACAACAUGCAUAAUAGCGUCUUCAAUCCUAUCGGUAAUCAGAAGGCUAUGGAAUGAAGUUGGUUACUUAAUUUUGACUACCAAAGAAUAUUUGGCACUUAAAACAAUACAAAAUGACAUCAUUUCCUGCCACAGGGACAUCCAGUCUCUUGCUGUGCAUAAUGAGCCCAAGGUGUAUAUUGACACACGCCAGAUGACACAGAGGCUAAAGCAAAGUCCUUGCUCAGAACUUUGCAGUCCUGAAUCUGUCUAUCUUUAGCACUGACCCUUUGUGCCCAAGCCACAGUGACUCUGUAAGUGCCUCUUAUGUUUGCAUAGCUUGUUAACUAGUCACAGACUCAUUAAAACCCCUCCCCCACCAAAAAUUGGAAGUGGGACCUAAGAACUUUGUGUUUUAUUUCAUGGUUUGAUGCUGUUGUUGUUUUAACCCAUAGAGUAGGCUGGUCAGGCUCAUAAAAGCAAGAGGUUCAAUCAGUUCUAGAUACUACAGAAUUUAAAUGUAGAAGAUGUCAUCUCUCUUCCUCCAUGUCUGUGGCUAUAACCCAUGCCCCUUCCUUCAUUCAUUUCAUUUACUUCCUGAAAUACUCAACUGUUUCCCACCACAGGGCCUUUGCACAUACUGCUCCCUCUACUUGGACUGCUACUCCUAGUCUUGGUAUAGCUAAGCCCUCUCAGUUUUAGGCCUCAUCCUACAUAGACCUUCCCACUGAGAGAGACCUUCCUCCAUCAUCUACUGAAAGGAACCUGGCCCUCUCUGUUCAUGCCAUUCUCACAUUCUGGUUGGCUCACUCUGUCUGCUCAGCAUCUUGCUUCCACUCUCAAGUGUCUGGCAGUGGUUGCAGUAUUUCUUGAAAGAAUUAGGGAAGAACACUGAAAUGAGUGGAUGGGCAAGAGGAUGAGCAAAGGGCAGAGGGGAAAGAGAUAGAGGAGGAAAAAAGAGGGAAGAAAGAAAGGGAGGAAGGAAGGAAGGGGCAAGAAUUUUUGCAUAGAAUUCACAUGCUAUUCAUGUAAACAGCUAGAGAUGAUUAAAGUGCAUAGGAAGAAGCUGGCCCUGCUAUUCAUCAGCCAUGAGAUGCUGUGGGUGUGUAUGGAGGGAAGAGAGGAGUGUGAUGCUCUCCAAGACCUUGCUCUUCACCAUCUGUAGUAGUCCAGAGAGCUGGGCACAAGGUCAUGGGAGUAGGAGAAUUGGUCCUGUUCAUCACCAACUGUGGCACUAGAGAGAGUGGGCCCUGCACCUUACCUGGGUAAUAGGUGAACCAGCCACAAGGGUGUGAGAGUGGG